GCUGUUUCCAUAUGUGAAUGUUAUAGCCAAUGAGUGUAUACCCCAUUGGCUACCCCAUAAAUGUUAGAGGAGCUCCUUCUGAUUUGGAAGAGCAGCAUAUAGUUAAUUGCUAUGGUAUAAACUUCCCCGCCAUUUGCCACCAGUGGCUGGUUCAAGAUUUAGCAAAAGUGCCUCUGAUUGCCAAGGUUUUCAUUACAUAAAUAAUAUCCUGUUAGGAAGCAGGUCAGACAUCUCAGUCUCAAUGACCAUGACUACAGGGUUAUCAUAUCUCUGCCAAUAGGGGUAGCUGAUAAACCUUUGUGAAAUGUAGGGGGCCACACACCUCAUAAAAGCUACUGGGGCCACAUAAUUGGAUUCACAAUAUUCAAUCCCUCCAGUGAUCAAACUCGUCUCUGUUUAACCCAGAAGAAAGGAUGCCAGGGUACAAGUUCAACUGAAAAGAACAAUAAUUCCAUACUGGCAGGAGGUUUCAAGGCUAAGUAAGUAUUACUAUUUUUACUAGAACAAAAUCUUUAAUAUGACACUGAAUGAAAUUAAUAAUAAAGGAAGGUAAGAUGUUAACUUUAGUGAUUCUGAGACAAGAUCAGGAUAAUGAGUAUAUUCUCAGAGAGGAAAUAGCAAGCACUGAUUGAGAUUUUAAUUACCUCAACAUGUAAGCCUAGUGCCGCUUUCAAAAAUAAUCUUUCCUGAAAUGUUCAGAGAGUUCUUAACUCUCUUUAUUUGGGGUGAGAGGUGAAAAGGUUUGGCAUGGACUCUCUUCCCAGAAAAAUUCACAUAAUAAGAUAAUAAGAAAGAUUCACAUAAUAUGUUCAAAGGGGAUAAGAGGAGGGAUGGACUAGGGGUUCAGGACUGGCAUAUGCACACUGUGGUACAUGGAAUGACUGGCCAAUGGGGACCUGCUGUAUAACACAGGGGACUCUAAUAUUCUGUGAUCAUCUAUACGGGAAAAGAAUCUGAAAAAGAAUGGAUGUGUAUACACAUAUAACUGAAUUACUUUGUUGCACGACAGAAAUUAUCACAAGGUUGUAAAUCAACUAUGCCUCAAUAAAACUUUAACAAUGAGAAAAUAAACAAGAAUAUUCUCCAACGUAGUCGCAAUACUAUUGUCAUACCCAAGAAAUUUACCAUUGAUUCAAUAAUAUUAUCUAAUAUACAAAAAAGUAAGUAAAUGCAUGGAUACAGAUUUUUUUUAAAAAAAGAAAUGAUUAUGUUCCAGGCAGUGCACUAUAUGUUAGAUACUCAAUGAAUCAUUUAAGCACCACAAUAAUUCUAUCAGAUAGGUAAAGACAUGGUAAUACAGAUAAGAAACUUGUCAAAGGUCACAUCCUAAUAAGUAGCAGAGGUGGGAUUUAACCUAAGAAGCAUGGCUCCAGAAUCUACUUGAUAGUCUGUUCUACUCUGGUAUCUUGUAGUAUCUUCUACUCAUAUAAACAUUAGUAAAUAAAAAAAAUUGUCUAUACAAUUUCAAAAGAUUUCCCUCAACUCUUGAAGUCACAAUUAAAAAUAUUUAUUCUAGGGAGUUCCCAUCAUGGUGCAGCAGUAGUGAACCCAAUCAGUAUCCAUGAGGACGCAGGUUCAAUCCCUGGCUCUGCUCAGGGUGUAGGGUAUCCAGCAUUGCUGUGAGCUGUGGUGUAGGUCAUAGACAUGGCUGAGAUCCCACACUGCUGUGGCUGUGGUGUAGGCUAACAGCUGUAGCUCCGAUUUGACCGCUAGCCCGGGAACUUCCAUAUGCCACAGGUGCGAACCUAAAAAGAAAAAAAAAUAAAUACUCUAGAAGUUGUUUGGCAACAUUUGCUAUUUGUUGCUUUAGAAUUUUUGAAGAACAUGAUGCCAUAGUCGGAAUCCUGUUCUAAGAGAAAGAACAAGGGGAAAAAGCUGAACAGACUGAUUAUUCACAUUCUGUUUCUAAUAUAGAAAAUUAUCUAGAUGAAUGGGGUCAUUUCUCCUUAAGAAGCAAAUCCUCAGACUUUCUAGCUACUAUUUAUUUCUCCUAUAUUAAAAAAUUUUCAUAUGCUAUCAAAAAUUUUUACAUCUCUAUCAAAUUUUUUUGCAACAUUUUCAACCUUUAGAUCAAAUGACUUUUUUUUCCCCUUACCUUCAUACAUCAUCCAGCAGAGAAAUUUCUAUUGUUCAGAGCAAUGCUAAUAUAAUGGUCAUUUUCAUCUUCUAGUAAUGUCACGUGAGCUGGUCAAAGCAUGCUGGGAAUAUCUUAGUGGUAGAAUGAGUUUUUUGCCACAUUAAAUCUUUACUAUAGUUUCACUUAAUACUUUUAGAAUAAAAAAAAUACACAUUGCCCACAAACAACUAGACUCAUGCUAAUUGCCACCUAACUUCAUCUUAUAACACUCUCCCCUUUACCCUCAUACUUUGGCCAAGAUGGCCUUACUUACUUCCUAAAAUAUACCAACUGCAUUUCCUGCCCCUAGGCUUUCUACUUGGUCUAUCUCUCCAGCAACUCUUCCUUCUCAUUGUCCAGAACUCAGCUCAAAUGUCACCUCUCCAGAGAAGGCUUUCUCUCAUAUAUAUAAGAACAUAAGACUAAGGGGACUUCGCCUAUCUCAUGAACUUCCUGUCACCUAUGCAUAGAAUAGAGGCAGGUACAUAGUAUUUGUCAAAUAAAUAAAUAAUCUCCCUUCUUUGCCAGAUCCCAUCCAGCUCCAAACCUAAGCUGUCCAGAUGGGCAGCUCAGGAGUCAUAAGAGGAUAAAUACUAAAUAAAUCAAUAAUAAUAUAAUUAAUUCAUUAGUAAUAAUAAAUUAAACAAAAAUAAUCAACAACAUUCUAUAUCUCUUUUUGCCACUUUCAAACAUUUCUGAAAGUUAGAACAUGUCAGUGUUACUUAAACUUUCUCCUUUAUUUCUGUUCAUUGAAAAAAUCAUUAAGACAUAUCCAGUGUCACCUAAUGAUCUUAUUUUAUUGUCCAAAGCAAAAAAAUGUUUGUGUUUACAAACAAUUUGAAUGCUCAAGGCAUAUCAAUUAGGCAUCUUUUUUUCCCCUAAAGAACAGAUUUUCCUCAGACAUAAUUUUUUAAAGACAGCUAAAGAAUUCUCCAUAGAUAUGAGAAUAGUAAAAUAUAAAUAUUAGAUUUGUGUUCAUCACAGCGAGCUGGGGGAUAAAAGAUUGCAUGUGGUUUGAUCACUGGGGCCCACACAGAACUGAAAGUGAAUAUUUCAUCACACUUGCCUUAUCUUCAUAACCUGAGACAUGAUGGAGAACUGAAAAGUCAAUGGGUGGAGCACAAAAUUUCACUCACAUGUUCUUGGAUGCAAGAAUACAUUUUUUAAAACAUAGUGUGCAAACGUCCCUUUCCAUUUUGCAACUGGUCAAUUUCCAUAAUUAUCUUAUCCUGUUUUAUUUCAAACAGUGGUCUCUCAGCCUAAUGCAUCAGCAUCCAACUGCAAGUUGACAGAGUAUAUAUAAUGACUCUUGAAAUGGCUCUCAAGAAAAAUUCUGUCAUCCUAUAAUCAUUUUAUUCAUGCUGAAGGCAUCCUACUGUCUUUGGGGAAUAUUCAAAUUUGUGAAACAUGCAAAAAAAGACUGGAGUGACACUUUUGAGAAGCUACUACUCAGAGAACAAUUACUGAUUACAUCAUUUAUCCUGAUGGUAAAUAACAAAGGACUUUACCUUUUUUAAAAAAAAAUUUAAUGAAACAAGGUGUUUUCCUAGCACUCCUAGCCUAGUUAAUCUAUCAAAAUAGGAGUUUGAAAAGAGUUGAUUUGUUUGGAUAAUUUAUGUUUUUACAAAUUACAGCAAGAGUUUGUAAAUUUUCAGUUUUAAUAUUCUAAAAAUCCAUUUAUAACUUUCACUUAUGUUGCUAUUUAAUAUUCUAUAAUGAUGCCUUCAUAUUAUAAACAUCUCGGGAAUCAUUAGAGUAGAUAUGCAAUUACAAAAAUCUGCACUAAUUAAUCUCACGCUAAUUCAAUCUUAGAUUUCUAUCAUCAACCUUUUGUUUCCAUUCCCCACUUGCUUUACUUCCUGAAGCCUUGGGUGGCAUAUCUCUAUACACAUUAUAAAGUCAGUAAAACAUUUUCAACAAAUUAAUAAUGUGAUGACUAACCCAACUGGACUUUGAUAGGGUUCUCCUCGGUUUACCUUCAGGGCCAAGAGCAUUGGGGAAAAAAGUUGAAAAUGAUGAUCUUUAAAACCAAUGUAUGUUAGAGAGUCACAAAGGCUCUACCACAAUCAGAAGAGAAAAUAAUAGCGAUGCCUUGCAUUUAUGCAGCUUGUUACAAUUUACAAAGCCUUUGCAAUCCAUUUUCUCAUCUAAAUAUCACUACAGUCCCAUGCAAUAGGCUACGACAUGUAUUACUAUCCUUUUUUAAAAGAUGGAGAUACUGCAGUAUGGAGCAUAUACUCUGUGAAAAGCCACACAACUUGGAAAAUUGUGAAGCCUGCGCUAAGAUCCAAAAGUUCACUUUCUUAUACCAAGUGCAGUUUCCAUCAAAUAAUCCU
rnacentral:lncRNA from 1 species